GUCGAGAUGGGAGCUUGCUCCAGGCGUCGAGUGGCGGACGGGUGAGUAACACUUGGGAAUCUGCCCAGUAGUGGGGGACAACAUUCGGAAACGGAUGCUAAUACCGCAUACGCACUACGGUGGAAAGUGGGGGAUCUUCGGACCUCACGCUAUUGGAUGAGCCCAAGUCGGAUUAGCUUGUUGGUGAGGUAAUAGCUCACCAAGGCGACGAUCCGUAGCUGGUCUGAGAGGACGAUCAGCCACACUGGGACUGAGACACGGCCCAGACUCCUACGGGAGGCAGCAGUGGGGAAUAUUGGACAAUGGGCGCAAGCCUGAUCCAGCAAUGCCGCGUGUGUGAAGAAGGCCUGCGGGUUGUAAAGCACUUUCAGUAGAGAAGAAAAGCCUAGGGUUAAUACCCCUGAGUCUUGACGUAACCUACAGAAGAAGCACCGGCUAACUCCGUGCCAGCAGCCGCGGUAAUACGGAGGGUGCGAGCGUUAAUCGGAAUUACUGGGCGUAAAGCGCGCGUAGGCGGUUUUGUAAGUCGGAUGUGAAAUCCCCGGGCUUAACCUGGGAACUGCAUUCGAUACUGCAUUACUAGAGUAUGGUAGAGGGAAGUGGAAUUCCGGGUGUAGCGGUGAGAUGCGUAGAUAUCCGGAGGAACACC
rnacentral:rRNA from 1 species